UGGGGAAUAUUGGACAAUGGGGGGAACCCUGAUCCAGCCAUGCCGCGUGUGUGAAGAAGGCCUUUUGGUUGUAAAGCACUUUAAGCGAGGAGGAGGCUACCGAGAUUAAUACUCUUGGAUAGUGGACGUUACUCGCAAAAUAAGCACCGGCUAACUCUGUGCCAGCAGCCGCGGUAAUACAGAGGGUGCAAGCGUUAAUCGGAUUUACUGGGCGUAAAGCGCGCGUAGGUGGCCAAUUAAGUCAAAUGUGAAAUCCCCGAGCUUAACUUGGGAAUUGCAUUCGAUACUGGUUGGCUAGAGUAUGGGAGAGGAUGGUAGAAUUCCAGGUGUAGCGGUGAAAUGCGUAGAGAUCUGGAGGAAUACCGAUGGCGAAGGCAGCCAUCUGGCCUAAUACUGACACUGAGGUGCGAAAGCAUGGGGAGCAAACAGG
rnacentral:rRNA from 1 species